rnacentral:rRNA from 1 species
CACGUAGGGUGCGAGCGUUGUCCGGAAUUAUUGGGCGUAAAGAGCUCGUAGGCGGUGUGUCGCGUCGGCCGUGAAAACCUGCAGCUUAACUGUGGGCUUGCGGUCGAUACGGGCAUCACUGGAGUUCGGCAGGGGAGACUGGAAUUCCUGGUGUAGCGGUGAAAUGCGCAGAUAUCAGGAGGAACACCGGUGGCGAAGGCGGAUCUCUGGGCCUUGCCUGACGCUGAGGCGCGAAAGCUAGGGGAGCGAACAGG